rnacentral:rRNA from 1 species
AGAGUUUGAUCCUGGCUCAGGAUGAACGCUGACAGAAUGCUUAACACAUGCAAGUCAACUUGAAUUUGGGUUUUUAACUUAGAUUUGGGUGGCGGACGGGUGAGUAACGCGUAAAGAACUUGCCUCACAGCUAGGGACAACAUUUAGAAAUGAAUGCUAAUACCUGAUAUUAUGAUUUUAAGGCAUCUUAGAAUUAUGAAAGCUAUAAGCACUGUGAGAGAGCUUUGCGUCCCAUUAGCUAGUUGGAGAGGUAACAGCUCACCAAGGCGAUGAUGGGUAGCCGGCCUGAGAGGGUGAACGGCCACAAGGGAACUGAGACACGGCCCUUACUCCUACGGGAGGCAGCAGUGGGGAAUAUUGGACAAUGGACCGAGAGUCUGAUCCAGCAAUUCUGUGUGCACGAUGAAGUUUUUCGGAAUGUAAAGUGCUUUCAGUUGGGAAGAAAGAAAUGACGGUACCAACAGAAGAAGUGACGGCUAAAUACGUGCCAGCAGCCGCGGUAAUACGUAUGUCACGAGCGUUAUCCGGAUUUAUUGGGCGUAAAGCGCGUCUAGGUGGUUAUGUAAGUCUGAUGUGAAAAUGCAGGGCUCAACUCUGUAUUGCGUUGGAAACUGUGUAACUAGAGUACUGGAGAGGUAAGCGGAACUACAAGUGUAGAGGUGAAAUUCGUAGAUAUUUGUAGGAAUGCCGAUGGGGAAGCCAGCUUACUGGACAGAUACUGACGCUAAAGCGCGAAAGCGUGGGUAGCAAACAGGAUUAGAUACCCUGGUAGUCCACGCUGUAAACGAUGAUUACUAGGUGUUGGGGGUCGAACCUCAGCGCCCAAGCAAACGCGAUAAGUAAUCCGCCUGGGGAGUACGUACGCAAGUAUGAAACUCAAAGGAAUUGACGGGGACCCGCACAAGCGGUGGAGCAUGUGGUUUAAUUCGACGCAACGCGAGGAACCUUACCAGCGUUUGACAUCUUAGGAGUGAGAUAGAGAUAUUUCAGUGUCCCUUCGGGGAAACCUAAAGACAGGUGGUGCAUGGCUGUCGUCAGCUCGUGUCGUGAGAUGUUGGGUUAAGUCCCGCAACG